rnacentral:lncRNA from 1 species
CUCGUGUCAGGUCACCCGUAUGUAUCUUCAUCAGGUGAUCUAUCCACAAACGUGGAUUUGUCUCGAACAUCUAGGGCCCCAUAUGGACGUCCGGCCCGUCAGGUAAUCUGUACGCGAACGCCCACUGAUCUCCAACAUAAUGUAAUUUUUGUUUUACUUCCACCGUAUUAUCUUAGAUCUUUUACUAAUCUUAUAUCAUGGAUCUUUCUUAUUCUUCGAAUAUGUGCCUGCAACUGAAACUGAGAACUCUUUUGUUUUACCUCAAACUGAAUAAUCUUUGUGCAGGCCCAUUAGGUGGUGCAGCGAGCAAUCAAAUAUUUACGAUCUCUCGACUGAGUUCAUGGAAAUUAGAUAUUAUAUAUGUUUCCUGGUAUUUGACCAACAAAAGGCGGUAUACCGAGUACACAGUCAUAGUAUUAUCUGAACUCUGUUGAUGAGGUUCCAAAGUGGAUGACAAGUAGAUGGAGCCAGUGCAACUCUGACAUAUUACCAUGUUGAAACUGCAUAUGUGGAUUUUCAGGAUUCUCUGUUCUCAAAUAUACUGGAUUUUCGCAACCUUUUUCUAUUUUACAAAGGUAAAAACAAUUUUAAUUUAUUUUAUACUGUUAAGUUAUAUAUGCUGGAAGAUGAAGAUGUAUGUUGUUCUGACCUUCACAUUAUUUUGUGUUGUAGGCUCUGUAGCUCUCUCAUGCAUGUGGCUUAUUGAUACAUUAUGAUGGAAAUCGAAGCAUUCUGAUUAUAAUUAUUCAUUCAUUUGAAUUGUUAUUUGUGACCAAGGCGACAUAUUUACCUUUUUGAUCAAUAUACAGUGUACUCCACUCCAACUUUAUCG